rnacentral:sRNA from 5 species
AUAUCUCUCUGUACGGGAAGGAUGAGAAGCUUCGACCAAGGUUCGAUUCGAGCGUCAGCGAGAAAGCGUUGCCGCAGGCAACGACCCGAAGGGCGAAGCGCGCAGCGCUGAGUAAUCCUUCCCCCACCACCA